ACUUUGAAACACCAGUUCUCUUAUGAUCACCAAAGUUAAGCAAUAUUGAACCUGGUCAAUAUCCAGAUGGGUAACCACUUGGGAAUUCUAGGUGCUGCAAGC